rnacentral:rRNA from 1 species
AGUUGGGACAUUACUAAUAUGAGGGCGGGCUGGAUCCCUCCGGCUGGGCACUGCUUCACGGCGUGCGCAGUAGGGGCCGGCCCUGCUGAACUAUUCACCCGUGUCUUUUGCGUACCUCUUGUUUCCUGGGCGGGCUCGCCCGCCACCAGGACCAACCAUAAACCUUUUUGUAAUAGCAAUCCGCGUCAGUAACAACGUAAUUAAUUACAACUUUCAACAACGGAUCUCUUGGUUCUGGCAUCGAUGAAGAACGCAGCGAAAUGCGAUACGUAGUGUGAAUUGCAGAAUUCAGUGAAUCAUCGAAUCUUUGAACGCACAUUGCGCCCUUUGGUAUUCCAAAGGGCAUGCCUGUUCGAGCGUCAUUUGUACCCUCAAGCUUUGCUUGGUGUUGGGCGUCUUUGUCUCCAGCUUGCUGGAGACUCGCCUUAAAGUCAUUGGCAGCCGGCCUACUGGUUUCGGAGCGCAGCACAAGUCGCGCUCUUCAUCCAGCCAAGGUCAGCGUCCAGCAAGCCUUUUUUCAACCUUUGACCUCGGAUCAGGUAGGGAUACCCGCUGAACUUAAGCAUAUCUAAAGGGGGGAAGAA